UUUGUGGCGUAAUACGCCAAUUGUUGAGGCCGUGGUGUAGUUUUCGUGAGUGGAGACAUGUAUAAAUGAAUAUGCACAUUACAGCAGUGUGAAUUGCAGAAAGAUAGUGAUUACUGUUGUGUAAUUUGUGAACUGUGCGCCGCCCUUUUAUUGGUGGAUGAACUAUUAACAGUUUUUGCGUUUGCAAUGGACGUAAAUACGUGGGUCAGUGGUGAAACAAUGCCUGUGCACGAUAGUUGGAUUUGAAUAUUUUAAGCACCAUGAUUUGAUGGGAAUAAGCCUUGAACUGUGUCUAUCACUUAUUGGACAGAAACUGUUUCUCGGAUGUCACGGAGUAGGACAUUGUGUAUACAAAUAUGGGUCAACUACGUAAAUAUGGCUGUGUGGCGGAUUUCAAACUGUGCCCACUGGAACUGCGAUCCAACGACAUCAAGUUCAAUACGACUGCUGCCGCAGUACAACAUUAUUAUUACCUGUACCAACAACAGGUACAACAUAAUGCAUCUGGACAUUGCGGGUGUUUUCAACGCAAAAUCGUCAAAUACCACCAUCGAGCGCCAUCGUCACCAUGCUAUCCUGUAAUCCUGCAACGAAAUGAGAGGAGUACUACAGCUACUGCUGAGUCGUCAUGUCACAGGUAUUGUGGCCACCUGUCAAAAGUCUGAAUAACCACUUUUUGCAGCAUUAGACAGGAAGAGAGUUAGUGAGGUUCUGUAAGGUACUGACAGAGUGGUGGAGCCAAGCUGACUCCAGUGCUGUGGCCAGUUGCACUAGGUUCCUUGGUGGAGGAUCCAACAGGAGCUUUAUAUGAAUAUGAGGGAUACUGCACUAUUCAUUGGCAGUGCUUGUAGGAGAGACGAAGGAGAAGUCAGAGGUGAGGAAGAAGAGUGUGGACAAGUUCAAGGAAUCCAAGAGGAGAAGUCAUUCCAAAGAUUGAAGAAGAUGAAAAAUAUCAAGCUGUUUGGAGUAGCUUUAUAUGCUGCUUUCCCCAGUUUUCCAUCAACAAAGCAUCCUGGUUAGCUUGUAACAGCCGAGAGUGGCAGAUGAAAAGCUUAGCAGAGCUUUGCAGCAAUACCUCUGAAUGGUACUGUCUUAUCAUAGCCCUUACAUUCUAUGUGGCAUUGUUCAGAGAUGACAUAUCAGUUAGCACAGUUACAUUUUAAUAUAGUUUCACUGACAUAAAUUUAAAAAACAGUUCCUCCAUAUUGAAACAUCGUUCAGUGAAAAUUCUCCUUUAAUAACUACCAAAUUACUAGAACUCUAAAUUGUGUUAUUUUAUAAUUGUUGGUCCAAAGACACAGUAAACAAUCCAUUCAAGUUGAUAAUAGUGAGUUGCAAAUGACCGAAAGAAGACAAUGGCAUGCUAAUGAACCAGUCUGUUUGGUUAAUGAUGGUUUAACAUCACAGCAAAUCAACAAAGUAUAUCUUAUGAAUAUAAAUGCAAAGAAAAAAAUUGAUAUUAAAACAAAGAU